rnacentral:rRNA from 1 species
UGAGGAAUAUUGGUCAAUGGACGAGAGUCUGAACCAGCCAAGUAGCGUGCAGGAUGACGGCCCUAUGGGUUGUAAACUGCUUUUGUUUGGGAAUAAUCGACAUUACGUGUAAUGUUUUGCAUGUACCAUUCGAAUAAGGACCGGCUAAUUCCGUGCCAGCAGCCGCGGUAAUACGGAAGGUCCAGGCGUUAUCAGGAUUUAUUGGGUUUAAAGGGAGUGUAGGCGGUUGGUUAAGCGUGUUGUGAAAUGUAGAUGCUCAACAUCUGACUUGCAGCGCGAACUGGCUGACUUGAGUACACACAACGUAGGCGGAAUUCAUGGUGUAGCGGUGAAAUGCUUAGAUAUCAUGAAGAACUCCGAUUGCGAAGGCAGCUUACGGGAGUGUUACUGACGCUUAAGCUCGAAGGUGCGGGUAUCGAACAGG